UUUUCUUUUUGCAAGAUUUUUGUGUGUCUUAUUUUUUGGUCUAUGUUUUUUCUGGAUGCGAGAAUAUAUCCUUUGCUUGUGUUGAUUUUUUUUUUAUAUUUUCCUUUUUGGUUUGAAUAUUUUCUGAAGGCCAUGGUCAUGGGUAUGCGAUUUAUCGGUUCAGCAACGACAAGAUGCUGGAAGAUGAUAGUCGGCCGUCAUUCUCGCGGGGUGAUGGAAAGUAUGGCAGGAGCAGUAGAGAAAAUAGAGGAGGGCCCUUUGGUCAGAGAGAUUGGUGAGGGCAUUCAUGGGAACCCAUCAAAACCUUAUUCACUUCUUCCCAAUUCAGAGAUGCCAAAUGGUCCUUCCCUUCUGCCCCUGUCACUUGCAACUAUGGUUCUGUAAUGCCUUCAUGGUUUGACAUUCUUGAGAUUCCCGUGGCAGCUCUUCAUGGUAGAAAUUUAUCCUGGGGAUGCUCACAAACUUUGGUAGCAUGGCAUUAGAUCGAAUUCACAAUACUCUCAAGGUUCUAUACUUGCUCAUUGUCAAUGUAUUAUGAAGACAAAGGCUUUUAAGAGAUCCCGAAGUCAUGACUUCCUACAGGUGCUUCCUUUGGUUGGACUUUGGUUGGAUUUGCAGUGGCCAUGCUUGUGUUUUACUCUUUAGUCCCUGUUCUACUUAAGGUGAAAGAUGUGAAAAUGUGUGAGACGUGUAGCAUUGAGAUGUGAUAUUAUGCGAUAAAUGGUGGAAUGACAUGAGUUGUGUUAAAAUGGUUAGGUAGAUGGCUAUGGAGAACCUCAUGCUAGAGGAUGUUGGAACACAAUGCUCUAAUAGGAUGUGACAUUGGGACAUGGGUUUUUGAAUAAUUUGCAUAAUAUUCUGAACAUGUUACUUUAUGUUAUUUCACUGCUUAAUUUGUUUUCUUUUGUAAAAAAAUUGGAUGACCUUGUUUUUGGCCAGAGAUGUUUUCACACCCUUAAUUGAUAAGUUUUUUAUUUGGUGAUUAACACGAAUGUGAACCUUUUACCCA